AGGGGUUGAACCUGCUGCAAGACUGAGGCAGAGUACUGCUGACACAGGGAAAACUGUGACCGACAGCGACACUCUGGCUGCUACCUAAUUGAGGUGACUGAGAAAUGGAGGUUAGGAAAAUGAAAACUGAAGUAUGAGACUUCUGUGUAGUAGCAUGUUUGUGGCAUAACUGACAAUCCUGAAAACACCUUCUUAACAAUAGAAAUGAAGAAAAAGAAAAGAAAUCACAAAUUAUUGAUUAGAGAGCAAUAUAUUUUCUGGCAUUCUAAUGUGGAGAAUAGGAAGCUGUGCAAGACAUUACUGUAUUUGAAAAGCAGAGGGAAACACAAAGAACUCUCAGAAGAAAGAAUGAAUACAUAUGGAUCCUUCUGAACAACCCACUAAUCUUCUUUCCUCAAGUGUUACCUUAACGUGUUAAAGAAAAGAAAGUUUAUCUUUUCUGUUCCUGUCUGGUUAUUUUCUAUCCCCUAUCUCCCA